AUGCCAGCCGUUCCCUGGGGUCCCUCUGGGCUGUCGGUGGCGUCUGUCCGGGCUGAAGCAUCCCUGCGUGCCUGUGGGGAGCUACCCCGGGCCGAGGAGCCACGGGCAGCCCUUCAGCCGUGUCCGUGCCAGCGCUGUCCGGUGCCCCGGUGCCCGUGCCGGGCCGUGCGUUGGGCACGCUGCGAGCCACGGGCAGGGCACGGCAGCUCCUGCCCUGCCGAGCCAAGGACCGGAGGUGCUCUCUGCCCUUCGGGGGCUCCGGGCUCCUCCAGCCCCGCACCGGGCGCAGCCGGAGCGGGAGCGGCGGCCCCGGCGGAGCGGCUCCUCCCGCCCGCGGCGAUACCGGUCCCGAUCCCAGCCCCGAUCCCGCCCCGAUCCUCCGGCCCCGGCACUCCCACCCUGCCCGCCGAGGAAGGAGCGGCUCUGCCCGGCUCCUACAGCAGACACCGGCGGGACCGGGACCCAAAUCCCCGGGCCCAGAUCCCAGUCCCGGUCCCACCUGAGCCCGUCGGACGCCGCGCAACGCCGGGAGCAGCCCCGAACCGAUCUCCGAGCGCCGCUCCCGCCGCAGCCCGGGCCGAGCAUCCCCCGCAGAACGUGAGGCGGGUGCGGAUCCGCCGCCAUUUACGGGCGGGGGGCGGGGCCAGCACAGGUGCGCGCACAGGUGCGCGGGGCCCCAGCGCGCCUGCGCGGGGCGGGGCCGGGGGAUUUAAGCCGCGGGGAGGCCCGGGCAGAGCCAUUUGCUGCUCGGCGCUCGGAGCGGGAGGUUGCGGCCGGCCGGGCCCCUUUAUCUCUUUUUCCAUUACUUUUCUUCUGCGUUUCUUUUCUUUUGUAUUUCUUUUUCUCUAUACCCCUUCUAUCUACCCUCCUUUCCUCCCCUCCCCCACCCCCUACACCCUCCCCCCCCCAAACCCCCCCCUCCCUCUCCCCCCUAGCCCUCCCCUCCCUCCCCCCCGGGCGGUCCCCCCUCCACCCCUUUCCCUAUCCUUCUUCUUUAUUCCUCUACUCACCCCUACCCUGUUCCUCCAUCCUGUCCCUUUUCCUUCCCUCCCCAGCCGGGCUCCCCCGUGCCCCCUCUCCCUGCUCCCCUUUCCCCCCCCCCACCUCGGGUUCCUUCUGCCGCCUUUCCAUGACACCUUCCCCCCUCCACACCUUCUGCCUCCUUCCCCAAACCCGCCUUCAAUCCUUCUUUUCCUUUCUCCACCCUGCCUUCCCCCCAGCCCCCUCCCCGACUGCCCUGCACACCCCGACCUCUCCCCACCUGCCCCCUGUCCUUGUCCCCUUCCCCUCGACUGCCGCUCUGCUCCCCUGUUCUCGUUCCCCAUUCCCCGUUCUCCUUCUUUCCUCGCAGCCGCGGGGCUCGGGGUGCCGGAGAAUAAAGCCCAGAGGGCCGGAGCCCGGCGCCCCCCGCCCUCGCUGGGGUCCCCACACGGGGCAGGAGCCGCUCUGCGGGUCCCCCCAUUGCAGUGCAACACACGGGCCGACACUGCCGGGGCUCCGGCUUUCCCGACAUCACACUGGGGGGUCGGGCUGGGGGGCAGGGAG
rnacentral:lncRNA from 1 species